CGACCGGCGCACGGGUGAGUAACACGUAUCCAACCUGCCGUCUACUCUUGGCCAGCCUUCUGAAAGGAAGAUUAAUCCAGGAUGGGAUCAUGAGUUCACAUGUCCGCAUGGUUAAAGGUAUUUUCCGGUAGACGAUGGGGAUGCGUUCCAUUAGAUAGUAGGCGGGGUAACGGCCCACCUAGUCAACGAUGGAUAGGGGUUCUGAGAGGAAGGUCCCCCACAUUGGAACUGAGACACGGUCCAA
rnacentral:rRNA from 1 species